rnacentral:lncRNA from 1 species
UUCAAAUUAAUAAUCAAUAUCGUCAAAUAUGAUUCUGGGCUAGCUAUUUGAGCUUUUUAGUAAUCAAAUUUUAUAAUUUUUAGGCAUCACUUAUUAUAUAUUCAAUUUGCAUCAAAUAUAUUUAAUAAUUUUUAAUCACUAAUAUAAGAUGUCUAAAUUGCUAGGCAAAUAUAGUUGCCAUAAAAUCAUCGUAAAAUUACAAAAUUAAACCCCUAUAGAGUUCAAAUAGAUUAGAUAUAUCGCGUUUAAUAGUAUUGAUCAUCAAUUCGAAUAAAUUACUGUUGAAAAAUUUGUACAUCAGACCGCCUCAAAAUUCGUACACACUAGCAACAAUAACUCGUUGGGCCCAGCCAACAGCCCAAAAUGCUUAAGCCCAGUUAUUAUUACUAGUGUCUAAGUCUCUUAUAAACCCAAUGACAACCCCAUUCCCAUCCGAUGUGGGACUAUUGGGGUGUCACAGACUCAUGUGAGACUCGUCUCGCUAGCCCGUCAUCCAGACCCUGACUCAGCCGAGAUUCGCCACACAUGUCCAGCUGGUGAACCGGCUCUGAUACCAAAUGUAACGACCCAGCCCACUAGCAACAAUAACUCGUUGGGCCCAGCCAACAACCCAAAAUGCUUAAGCCCAGUUAUUAUUACUAGUGUUUAAGUCUCUUAUAAACCCAAUGACAACCCCAUUCCCAUCCGAUGUGGGACUAUUGGGGAGUAUUAUUAAUGAUUUGUUCCUACACGCAUUUUUUAUUAAUACUGCACGAGUCUUGAGGCGAUCUAUGCUUUUAAAAACAUAGCAGCUCAACUCUAUUUAUAGUAUUAUCAU